GUCGGUAGAAACAAGACGAUGACGGCGACGUCGAUCGAAGAUUGGGCGGCAGUUCGAAAGCUGUGCUCU
rnacentral:ribozyme from 1 species